UACGUCAUCGCGCAGAGGCAGCCAUUUCAGUAAAAACGGCGGUGUGUGCUGUUGGCUUAUAUUUUUUAAAAGAAUAGUCGUACCAGUGUAGGGAGGUCCCCGACCCGCUUCUUUUUAUUUUAAAAUGCAGACAGAACAACAGCAGAGUGAUUUCAGCACUGAUGAGUUUCCAGAAGGCUCCAAAAUCAACGCGAGUAAGAACCAGGAGGACGACGGGAAAAUGUUUAUCGGUGGACUGAGUUGGGAGACCAGCAAAGAAGACCUUAAAAUCUAUCUUUCCACGUUUGGGGAGGUGCUGGAUUGCACCAUCAAAACAGACCCAAUGACUGGUCGAUCCAGAGGCUUUGGGUUUGUGCUUUUCAGAGAUGCAAUUAGUGUUGACAAGGUUUUGGAACUGAAGGAACACAAACUGGAUGGUAAACUGAUUGAUCCAAAAAGAGCUAAAGCCAUGAAGCAGAAGGAACCCCCCAAAAAGGUCUUUGUUGGAGGUCUUCACCCAGAAACAUCAGAGGAAGAAGUUCGACAAUAUUUUGGCAGUUUUGGGGAGAUUGAAAAUAUUGAACUCCCUGUGGAUACCAGCACGAAUGGAAGGAGAGGGUUCUGCUUCGUAACAUACGUUGAUGAAGAGCCAGUUAAGAAGCUGUUGGAAAACAGAUACCACCAAAUUGGAACAGGAAAGUGUGAAGUUAAAGUUGCCCAACCAAAAGAAGUCUACAGACAGCAACAGGGCAGAGGAGGAGGAGGAGCUGGAGCUGUAGCAGGAGCAAGAGGAGGAUUUCGAGGUCGGGGAAGAGGAGGACCAAGUCAGGGCUACAACCAAGGGUAUGGUAAUGGCUACUAUGGACAAAACUAUGGAAGCUAUGGCAAUGGGUACAACCAGGGAUAUAACGACUACUCUGGGUACGACUAUUCAGGCUACAACUAUCAGAAUUAUGGAUAUGGAACAGGCUAUGAUUACAAUGGUCAACAGAGCAGCUAUGGCAAGGUCUCCAAAGAGAGUGGAAAUCAUCAGAAUAACUAUCAGCCAUACUAAUAAAAAAGCCCUGCAAAGUUUAUGCGGGGGACUUCAUUGCAGGCCGUGUGUCACCUGACCACGAAAUUCUCUGGGCGUCGCACAUAGCGGGCAGAGAGCACGGCAUGCACAAGAAAGCGCUGUCCUGUGGUGGGCAGACUGAGCAUUCGUACCCUAGACGCAGCUUGUGGAUACCCUGUCCUCCUUAUUCAAAGAGCGUCUUGAUUUUAAAAAACUUUUUUUUUUUUUGUCCGCUAAAGAUUGAAGACAAGUGUCUGACCUUGUAAAUAUUGUUUUCUGUACUUUGUUGAGGUAGAACCUUUUUGUGCUAUUGUGUUCAUAGAUCCUGAUUAAGGAUAUGUUCUCCUUAUUUUUUCAGUUUUGAAUAAAUGGGCUAUUAAAUUCGGGUACAAAACC